CACAAUCUGUAGCCUACACCCAGCUAACCUCUCACUAGAUCACUGACCAUGGGUGCACAAAAGUCAAACACCUAUACCAAUCUAACAAACUAAUGCACUAUUCCGAACUGCAAAGUGUAUACAAGCUACCCCACUACAUGUUGUUCUCCUACCUGCAGUUAAAAUCCAUGUUAGCAACAAGACAAACAAGGCCGUCUUGAAGCCUCU